rnacentral:tRNA from 1 species
GCUCAGGUGGCGGAAUGGUAGACGCAGUGGACUCAAAAUCCACCGGUAGCAAUACCUUAAGGGUUCAAGUCCCUUUCUGAGCACCA